rnacentral:rRNA from 1 species
GCCAGCAGCUGUAUGGCCCUGCAGUUCACUACUUGCAGCCCACUGGAGUUCAGCAGGUGGAAGCCUGGACAGUACCUGGAUGGGAGACCUCCUGGGAAAGCCAAGGCUGCUGCUGGAA